GCCGGCGCCCUUUUAGGGUCGGCAAGGUCAAGGAGCGCUCAUCCUUGGCGCUCCUCGUACCCAUGUUGCUCAGCAAUGGAGGAUAUGGCUAUGAGAA
rnacentral:sRNA from 1 species